rnacentral:rRNA from 1 species
UACGUAAGGGUGCGAACGUUAGUCGCGAAUUAUUGGGCGUAAAGCGCGCGCAGGCGGAUCAGCAAGUCAGAUGUGAAAUCUCGGGGCUCAACCCUGAAACUGCGUCUGAAACUGCUAGUCUAGAAUGUCGGAGGGGGCAGGGGAAUUUCACGUGUAGGGGUAAAAUCCGUAGAGAUGUGAAGGAACACCGGAGGCGAAGGCGCCUGCCUGGACGACUAUUGACGCUGAGGCGCGAAAGCGUGGGAGCAAACAGG